rnacentral:rRNA from 1 species
GACGAACGCUGGCGGCGUGCUUAACACAUGGAAGUCGAUCGAAGAGCGACGGAAGCUUGCUUCUAUCAAUCUUAGUGGCGAACGGGUGAGUAACGCGUAAUCAACCUGCCCUUCAGAGGGGGACAACAGUUGGAAACGACUGCUAAUACCGCAUACGAUCUAAUCUCGGCAUCGAGGAUAGAUGAAAGGUGGCCUCUACAUGUAAGCUAUCACUGAAGGAGGGGAUUGCGUCUGAUUAGCUAGUUGGAGGGGUAACGGCCCACCAAGGCGAUGAUCAGUAGCCGGUCUGAGAGGAUGAACGGCCACAUUGGGACUGAGACACGGCCCAGACUCCUACGGGAGGCAGCAGUGGGGAAUCUUCCGCAAUGGACGAAAGUCUGACGGAGCAACGCCGCGUGAGUGAUGACGGCCUUCGGGUUGUAAAGCUCUGUUAAUCGGGACGAAAGGCCUUCUUGCAAAUAGUGAGAAGGAUUGACGGUACCGGAAUAGAAAGCCACGG